AUGCACUGGGGGGUUGGCUUUGCCUCCUCCAGGCCGUGCGUGGUGGACCUGAGCUGGAACCAGAGCAUCUCCUUCUUCGGCUGGUGGGCCGGGUCCGAGGAGCCCUUCUCCUUUUAUGGGGACAUCAUCGCUUUCCCUUUGCAGGAUUACAGUGGGAUCAUGGCAGGGCUGGGCUCGGAUCCCUGGUGGAAGAAAACCCUUUAUUUGACCGGGGGAGCUUUGCUGGCUGCGACUGCGUAUCUGCUCCAGGAACUCCUGGUCAUUAGAACUAUUUUGGUGGAAAACUCUCUGCUCAAGGGAAGAUUCCUUGGAUUGAAUAUAAUAAUGAAAAAGUGUCUGGCACAGAAUUCAUAAUCGACUUUCUGGAAGAGAAACUUGGAGUGAACUUAAAUAAAAACCUCGGCCCCCAUGAAAGAGCCGUCUCAAGAGCCGUGACCAAGAUGGUGGAAGAGCACUUCUACUGUGACAAGAAGUACAACCUGGGACCCAAACUGUCCACUCUUGAUGCCACUGUCUUUGGACACUUGGCACAGGCGAUGUGGACCUUACCGGGGACAAGACCGGAGCGGCUAAUCAAAGGUGAGCUGAUCAACCUGGCCAUGUACUGCGAGAGGAUCAAGAGGAAAUUCUGGCCCGAGUGGCACCAUGACGAUGACAACACCAUCUAUGAGUCUGAGGAGAGCAGCGAGGGCAGCAAGACUCACACACCCAUGCUGGAUUUUAGCUUUUACUCAAGGACAGAGACCUUUGAGGACGAGGGGGCUGAGAACAGUUACUCCAGGACCCCUGACACGGAUUUCACUGGACACUCUCUCUUUGACUCUGAUGUGGAGAUGGAUGACUACACAGACCACGAACAGUGCAAAUAAUGCCCCAUCGCGGAGCCUCGUCCUCAGGAGCCACCACUCCCUGGGGUUGGUCUGAUUUCCCAGAUAGAAAUCCAUCUGAACUGGGAGGAGAUCUUCAAGCCUGGGCCAGUUUUAACAUGCUAACUGGACUAUAAGCUGCCUUCUUU